UACGUAGGGUGCGAGCGUUGUCCGGAAUUAUUGGGCGUAAAGAGCUCGUAGGCGGUCUGUCGCGUCGGUCGUGAAAACUUGGGGCUUAACCCUGAGCUUGCGGUCGAUACGGGCAUGACUGGAGUUCGGUAGGGGAGACUGGAAUUCCUGGUGUAGCGGUGAAAUGCGCGAUAUCAGGAGGAACACCGGUGGCGAAGGCGGGUCUCUGGGCCGAUACUGACGCUGAGGAGCGAAAGCGUGGGGAGCGAACAGG
rnacentral:rRNA from 1 species